rnacentral:lncRNA from 1 species
AUUUUAAAAAUUAAUUAAAAGUUAAAAUGCAGAAUCUGAGAUAUUGUUUAUGAUAAUUUUUGUAAAGAUGGGAUAUUAUUGUAUAAUUGGACAAUUUUUGAGAAAAUAAAGUUGCCACUUUCGAGGUCUAACAGUGUUGCAGAUCAUGAGAUCGAGGGACAUUCGUGUUAUUUUGUGCAAUAGAAUGAUGGUUCGGAGAUAAAAGGCGUCGAAAGAGAAACUAAUGAAACGGAGUUGUUAUUCAGAAAGAGAGACAUUUUAUAUGUCAAAUCGCGAGAUUUCUUAGUAAUAGUAGC